rnacentral:tRNA from 1 species
UCCCUGGUGGGCCAGUGGUUAAGAUUCUGCACUCUCAAUGCAGGGGACCUGGGUUCGAUCCCUGGUUGGAGAA